rnacentral:rRNA from 1 species
AUGACGACAUCACCUUCGGUGGGGGUCUAUUCCAAAUCACUGAUGGAGUCUGGGCCGGAUUCUGUUAGACAGGAGCCUGGGCCGUUUAUUGCGCCAUCGCUGGAGGAGCUGCUGCCGCAGCUAUCCCUUGAGGAGCGGGUACGAUUGCAGAGUCACCUACACGAGCACGAGCGCAAAGUGAAGCGAUGGAGUAAGUGUCCUACAUUACCUUCGGGCCGGUCAGAAAGAAAGCGCGACACCACCAUCAUGCCUCACGUCCGCCACGCUCUCCACUAUUACAAUGCCAGGCACCCGGGUGACGAGUUUGAUGCUGUGAAGCCUCUGAUGGAAUCCAGAGCUAGUUUCAGGAAACAGCUGUGGGCUCACGUCAACUUCUGGGCUCGCAGUCGCAAAAGCAACAAAAUCAAGCGCUUCUUCGCUGAGGUGCACUACAACCCAAAACCUAUUGUUGAAGUGUGCACCAUCAUCGAAGAGCCUCUUGACCGGUACAGGAGGAGCUGCGCAUUCUGUCCUGGCAACCGGGACAUUUUGCACCCUGUUGGUUCCCGUAAGUUUGUUUGUGGAAAUGAUAAGGACCGGAUGGUACAACAAUUCAAGCCUCGUACAUUCUCUGAAUUUCGUGGAAUGCCAUUCACUUGCUGCCCGAGUUCGGCCUCCUCCAACGUUCAAGAGGAAGUAGGAAAGAGAGUAUUCUGA